CCAGCAAUUAUCUUCAUUUGAUGGAUAAUGGAGCUGUCUCUGGCAAGACUGCGAGAACUAAAGCUGGGUUGUGGGUGAAGGGGCCACAUGGCUGACAAGGAGUGGGGCCCCCUUUGGGAAGACACUGUCCAAAGGCGUUGCUUGAGUGAUUCCCUCCUAAACUACUGAUCUGAGAGAACCAAGCCUUGGUUGCUCUUCUCCAUCAGAAAAGAAACUCACUGUAUUUAUUGGAUGUAUCAAACCAUGCACUGUGAGGGUGUAAGACCCAUACCUGGCAGAGCCUUGGCUGGAGGGAACACCUCCUCCCUUAGGAAGAGACUGGAAGCUGGCCUUCCCCCUCCAAGAACAAAGGAGUGUACUUAUAUUUAUGCAAAGGCAACACUGAGCCACGGCCACAGGCUGCUCUGUGGGGACCUUGGGAAAGGAGGCUAUUCCACUCCUACGUGUCUCUCAGAGAUGGAAAAUGACACAGUUGUUUGAAGCGGUGACCCAUUGUAAGUAUGGCCACCUUGUCAUACUGCUAAAUUGCCAAAUUAUUUAUGAAGUUGAUGUUUGGGUUCUAUUUUUAUAAUAUAGUUCUAGAUUUAUGGCAAUAUGUACAUCUUAAUUUAUAGUUCUGUGCUUUAAAGAAAUCCAUGUAUGAAUAAAGAGCAGAAUAUUGAAAGCAUUCCAUUCAAGAUAUUUAAGGACCUGUAAGUCUGUAUUCAAUAAAAUGCAAUGCCAAG
rnacentral:lncRNA from 1 species